rnacentral:rRNA from 1 species
ACGGAGGAUGCAAGCGUUAUCCGGAUUUAUUAGGUUUAAAGGGUGCGUAGGCUGAAUAGUCAGUCAGUGGUGAAAUCCUACGGCUUAACCGUAGAACUGCCAUUGAUACUGCUAUUCUUGAGUACAGUUGAGGUAGGCGGAAUGUGUAGUGUAGCGGUGAAAUGCUUAGAUAUUACACAGAACACCGAUUGCGAAGGCAGCUUACUAAACUGUUACUGACGCUGAGGCACGAAAGCGUGGGGAGCGAACAGG